AGUAGGAAUCCUGUCCCUGAAAAAUGCUAAGCGUUUGACCCUGCACAGGUUUAAUAACCAGCCUUAGUCUCACCUGAAAAGUAGGAAUAACAAUAAUCACCUUGAAAAUAUGUGUCAGGAUUAAGGGAGUUCACAUCUGUCAAACUUUAGCACGAAGAGGCAUUCAUUUCAUAUUCAUUGAUAUAAUAUGAAUGGUACCAUAUUCAUUCUUACUAUUUCAUCCAAAUGAGAAGAGAACUUUCAGGGCUCUGGAGGCUGGAAGUCUGAGAUCAAGGCGCAGGGAGAAUGGAAUAGAAGAAGUCAAGAUUGGACAGGACAUGAGUUAGGAGAGAGGGUGAUGGCUUGGACCAAGGUGAUGGUCCUGGAGACAAAGAGAAAUUUGCAGCUU
rnacentral:lncRNA from 1 species